rnacentral:rRNA from 1 species
GAUUCUGGCUCAGGAUGAACGCUAGCGGCAGGCUUAACACAUGCAAGUCGAGGGGCAGCGCGGAGUAGCAAUACUCUGGCGGCGACCGGCGAAAGGGUGAGUAACGCGUGAGCAACAUGCCCGAUAGUGGAGGAUAGUCGAUGGAAACGUCGUGUAAUACUCCGUAACAUACGGGACCGCAUGAUUCUGUAUUAAUAGAUUUAUUGCUAUCGGAUUGGCUCGCGUACCAUUAGCUAGUUGGCGGGGUAACGGCCCACCAAGGCGACGAUGGUUAGGGGUUCUGAGAGGAAGGUCCCCCACAUUGGAACUGAGACACGGUCCAGACUCCUACGGGAGGCAGCAGUGAGGAAUAUUGGACAAUGGCCGGAAGGCUGAUCCAGCCAUGCCGCGUGCGGGAAGACGGCCCUAUGGGUUGUAAACCGCUUUUGUUGGGGAGCAAUAAGGUCCACGUGUGGAUUGAUGAGAGUACCCAGCGAAUAAGCAUCGGCUAACUCCGUGCCAGCCGCCGC